rnacentral:rRNA from 1 species
UGGGGAAUUUUGGACAAUGGGCGAAAGCCUGAUCCAGCAAUGCCGCGUGUGUGAAGAAGGCCUUCGGGUUGUAAAGCACUUUUGUCCGGAAAGAAAUCCUUGGCUCUAAUACAGUCGGGGGAUGACGGUACCGGAAGAAUAAGCACCGGCUAACUACGUGCCAGCAGCCGCGGUAAUACGUAGGGUGCAAGCGUUAAUCGGAAUUACUGGGCGUAAAGCGUGCGCAGGCGGUUUGCUAAGACCGAUGUGAAAUCCCCGGGCUCAACCUGGGAACUGCAUUGGUGACUGGCAGGCUAGAGUAUGGCAGAGGGGGGUAGAAUUCCACGUGUAGCAGUGAAAUGCGUAGAGAUGUGGAGGAAUACCGAUGGCGAAGGCAGCCCCCUGGGCCAAUACUGACGCUCAUGCACGAAAGCGUGGGGAGCAAACAGGAUUAGAUACCCUGGUAGUCCACGCCCUAAACGAUGUCAACUAGUUGUUGGGGAUUCAUUUCCUAGUAACGUAGCUAACGCGUGAAGUUGACCGCCUGGGGAGUACGGUCGCAAGAUUAAAACUCAAAUGAAUUGACGGGGUCAUAGCU